AUGUUCUCCAUGAAUGAACUUGCGAUGACACAAUCUAAUCUAGUGGCCUCAACGCUUCAAUUCAAAAUAUGGCCGUGAGUCAUUCCGGAGGAUGGUAAAUACUGUGACGUAACGAAUAUGCUGUGUGGUUAGUUUCAGGAGUGAGACAGUGGAUUACUAAUGCCUCUCUAAAACCCAGGACAGCGUGGUCAGUAUUGUGGAGUGGACAACAUGUCGCAGGGCGAGGAGCAGACGACACCCGUACAGGGUUUAACAAGGAAAUUAUUUGCGUGUGUGGAUUUUAUUCAGGGCUAUUUUGUAGACGCUGCCCUGUUUUGUUUCUUUCUCUCGCGGCACAUGUCUCUGCCGUUAUUCCAGGAAUAUGUUCAAGACCAAAUCCACAAAAAACAUAACCUCAACUUGAUAGACAUCCAGAAAGGCAUGAGUGGGAAUGAGACAAGCUCCUGGCACGAGGCUCAGCAGGAAAGUGUGCUCGCAGUGUUAGGACUCCAGAUUGCGGAGGGUUUACCGGCCAUCAUCACCGUCCUCAUCCUGGGGGCUGUCAGUGACAGAACAGGUAGACGGAAGAUCCUUCUGUGGCUUCCCUCGCUGGGGAGUGUUGCACAUUCUCUCAUCUAUGUUCUGAUUCUGUACACUGGAUGGAACCUGGAUGGCCUGUUUAUGGCGUCGGCCCUCAGGGGAAUCAGUGGGAGUAUGACUGCCUUCUUGGCUGGAUCAACUUAUUUUGCGAUUAACAGCGUUAAACCAAAUCAAAGAGCCUCGCGCCUUGCUAUCCAGGAGUUUUUGAACGGCGGUGCAUAUGCUCUUGGUAAUAUCAUGGUUGGAUUCUGGGUCAAGUCCAGUGGAUUUUUGCAACCAUUUUGGUUCACUUUGAUCUGUGGAGUGAUCGCCUUCUUGAUAUCCUUCUUCCUGGUACAGGAGUGCCCACUCAGCGAAGCAGACCGACCGGUUCGACACAGAAGGACUGGAAAUUGUUGCAAAGAUUUGUUUGCACCCAUGGCCAAAAUAUUCAACUGUUGUAAAAACCGAGGCCUGAUUAAAGUCUGGAUGGCCAUUUUAGCUUUCCAGACGUACGCCGCAGUGCAUAUUGGCCAGGAGAAUGUCUUAGUGUUGUAUCUUAGUGGACAGCCGUAUUUGUAUUCCUGGCGUACGGAUGUGACGGGGCCUGGGCCAUAUGUAAAGAUCGGCCUGUUCUUGUCCGUCAUCAUGGCCGUGGCAGCGGCGGCCGUGGCGCUGAGUCCACCGAUAAUGAGGAGGUUCCUGACAGAAUCAAACAUCGCCUUCAUUGGAUACUUCUCCAAGGCCCUGGGCACCCUCUGGAUUGCUGUUGUUCAUAAUGAAACAAUUUUAUAUUUUGCCAUUCUGCUGUUGGCGUUUGAACUUCUACCAUUCCCAAUGAUGAGGUCCAUCGUGUCAAGAGGAAUUUCCCCAUCAGAACAAGGGUCGCUGUUUGCUGUGAUGCAUUGUGGGGAGAGUAUAAUUUACUUCCUGGCUCCGUUCACCUUCACGGCAAUCUACGCUUCUUCGCUGCACUAUUUUGGUGGCUUCGUCUUCAUCGUGUCUAUCAUCCUGCUGUGUCUGCCUACAGGAUUCACGAUAGCCCUUCGUUAUCUGGAGAGCAGGGAGCCCCAGGGAUACGAGCCGAUGGAUGGAGCCGAUCUGCAGCCAGAGGAGGAAGGACCAUCUGCAGCACCCAGCGAAUCGGAGACCGACAGACUGGCACAGGAGCCAAUCAGCUUCAUUCAGCUCAGUCAAGAUGCAUGAUCCAACCACUGCACCCGAGUGUCCCAUCGACAAAUUAUGGAAUUUGCACCUUUAGCCAGUGAUUGCCAACAGAGGAGAGCUAGUCACCCAGAGAGUGUAUGUUGGACUUCAGGAACCAAGGUUCAGUGUACUUAUAAUCAGAAACCCGAGCUUGUCUCUGCUGACGUUAUCAGGGGAAGAUCAGCUGUAGUUUACCCUGCAUCGUAUUUCUGUUGCUCAAAAGUGAUAUUAGAAGUUGCCUGUUCAAGUGUCAACUCAUUUGGAAGAUGUUUUCUGCAUAUUUAUCCACAGUGCUUGUGUUAGUUCCACUGUUAUAUAUCUUGUUUAAGAACAAUCACAAGAGCUUUGUAGCGUGAUCUGUGGCUACAUUGGUUACUAUGCUCAGACUCCGAGAAGUACAAAAGCAAGAAACAGCUGCUUUGUAUCAGUAGGAGACUGUGUGGAUACACCAGGGGUAUUUUCUUUCUUACGUUGAGAAUUGUACAUUAAGUUUAAUUGUGUGUGACAGGUGCUUGGUGUGUUCACACAUCUGCAUUGUUGCUGUUACUAUGUUGCAUGUCAUGUGUGUCUUCAGGAUAUGAUGUGUGUAACUCUCCAGACAUAGUGUGUGUAAUGCAUGUCUUCAGGUUAUAGUAGAAGUUAUAGCAGUAUCACGGGGGAUAUAUGUGGUUUCGUGCGUCCCGCCUUAGGUUUUAUGCCAUGAGCAGGAGGCUAGUGGUAUAAAACCAAACACGGGACGCAUGAAACCACAUGUACCCUUUGUGAAACUGCUACAACAAAUUUAUCUUUCUGACAUCUUUUAAUAUGACAUUGUAAAAGAAUUAAGACAAAUUCAAAACUGAUAGAAAACAGCUGUUUGUAUGAGCUGAAGUUAACUUGUGCUAUGUUACAUGACUUUCAUUGACUUGUAAAAAGCCUGCGGCUUUUUGCUUCAAAGCUGGAUAUAUGAGAUUUAUUCUGCCUCUCAGAAAUCUGUCUUGUUCGUGGCGGGGUAUAAGGGAUUUUUUCUCUCGCUGAGCAAUUUAUUUCCCUCCAAAGUGGGAUACAUAGUAUUUUAUCAAGAUCACUUUGAACAAUCAGAUCUCAUCAGAUCUCAUCAGAUCAGAUCAUGUGUGUUAUUAUCCAAACUUAGUGUGUGUAUGUAAUGUGUGUCUUCAGGAUAUCUUGAGGAUGUAAUAUUAUCCAGAUAUAGUGUGUUUAAUGUGUGUCUUCAGGAUUUAAUGUGUGCUGUUGUCCAGAUGUCAUGUGUGUAAUAUGUGUUACAGGGAUAUUGUGUGUGUAGGGUUGGACAGUCGAGAUUAUUCUGUGCUCAUAUUGUUGCACUACCCACUGAAACUUAAGAAAUUAUUGUGAAACAAAACAGUAGGCUGUGUUGACAUGAUUGAUGAGCAUGAUGAAUAUGUUGUUUUCUUCACUGUCCACCAUCCUUGAUUUCGUCUACCACAUGCUGUAUUUCCACAGGUCUGUUUCCCUACAGGAAAUACAUAUCCAGGAAAACAUAAUGUACGGGAUAAACCGCUUCCCAUCUCACUUUUGAUGGAAAGUUAAUUUGUUGUGGCCUUAUAUAACAGAUGAAUUAAAAUCAAAUGAAGUCAGCAUUAUACACGAUGCCACACAGGCCAUGUAUGGGGCCAACGUAGGGUGUAAAGCUCAGUCUGUGUAGUACAGGUGAGACUUAUAUAAGCCAGAAAGAAUUGAAACUUUUCUUUCCUCUUUUGGCCUGCAGUUGAAACCAUACAUGGCAUGUGAUGUCGUUGACCUUCCAUUUACAAAGUGCAUAUUUCAUUUCAGUUUCCAACCACCAAGUACUUGGUGUAUGUGUUGUCUACAAAGAGAGAUAUUUUUACAGCAUGUUCUAUGUGUGUUAGGAAUUUGCUAUUUCCUUGUCUGCUGUUUUCCUUCAACUUCAACGAAAGAUGAUCCUGUAGCCAUGGUAACGUGAAAGUGUUGUACAUGAACCAGAAUGCAUACAGUACAUGUCUGUAUCAAGGGACGUGUCCUCGCACAGGUGAUGCAAGGUUUGGUGGUUAAUUUAAAAAAAAAAUUAUAAUCCACCUGGCCCAUUUGUAAACUCUAAAAGUUAAUCCAUGGAAACAACAUAAAAUUAUGUUUAUCUGUAAGCAUAGUAAUAAUGAUGAUUUCAGAGUUUAUUUGUCUGUUGUUUAACGCUGCACUCAACAAUAUUCAAGCUAUAUGACAGCGGUCUGUAAAUAAUCCAGAAUGGAGCAUACAAUUCAGUGACUGACAUUCUGAACAUCGAUCUAUGCAACUGGGAUACAGUGAAAAGCAUCCACCGAGGCAGGGAAUGUGACCACCAUAUCCCAUUGGUUAUCAGGCUUUUCCAGUUGAUCUACAGAAACAUCGACUACAUGGUAGCAUAUUUGUUUUUUGUUUUUUUUAAAAACACAUCUUCACUAAAAUCAAGAUUAAGAGACCAAAGUGAUAUAUUUUGAACUAAGAAAAUUUGGAAAUCUGUUUUUUUGCAGUAGCUUAGAUUUUUUGUAGAUAAGAUAACAUUUCCAUGACGGUGGAAAUAGGAUGGUGAGGAUUUGAGGAUUUAUAUAUGACUGAAUGCUAUGAUGGAGUUGGAUGUGUGUGCUGUGAAUGUCACAAUUACUGCAGGAAUGUUUGAUAUUUGUACCCUGUUAGUCCAAUAUUUGCCAUAAUCUAUACUCACAAAACAGCCAAAUGUUACUAGUUAAUUUUGUGUACAUAAUUAUCAUUGUGUUGUCAACACUUACAGCAGGUCAGGCCUGAUAUCCAGGAGGUACUUGACUUGUGACCCCGUAGCACGCAGUAUAAUAAAUACCCAGUCCCUAUCCCGGCCACAUGCAUUGCCUACUUGCACAACACCAGCUUCGUAUGUUUGCCUGAGUCACUUCUCGUACAUGUGGAGGUUACAUCAGUCAUUCUCUGACGAAGCACCAGUAAUUGCCUGGUAUGCAUGUCAACUGUGUAAAAAACCUGUUUGUUUGGCCACUAACUCUAUAUGAACAUGGACUAUGUUAGAAAUGAGCAAGAUGGAUGAUUGUCUUCUGUAGGUGGCAUGUACGAGUUGGCAUGAUGAACAAGGAGAGAGUUCCAUGCAUAUACAACUUCUGUAGUACAAUGACUGCCACGUUUCGGUUUCGGUGUAGAUAGCAACACCAUUAUCAAGCAAGUGAUGUCCAUAGAACUGUCUCUCUUGUUGAUAAUUGUUUUGUCAGAAGGUGAAGGUCACGAGAGAGAAAUAACUGCCAUAAAGGGUUUGAUGCUAUACUUUGUUAAGACUUGGUAUGUACCUUAUUUAGGAUGGGGGGGGGGGCAGUUGUCCUGAGGCGCCACGAUUCACUGUGCAGAGUUGCAUCCCUUGGGCACACAGAAACCUAUGAUUGUGGGUUCGAAUCCCGGUUCCCCCCGAUUAUGUUUCCAGGUUUGUCAGCACCAUACCCGUGCUCGUGGGUUUCACCGAACUGGUAAACGUCUGAGACCUGCAUCACAUCGGGCUUUCCUCCCACAUUAAGCUGACACGCCACGAUUUAACUAAUACUGUUAAAAGCAGCGUUAAACCCAACAACUCACUCACUCUUUAGGAUGGGUCCUGUUUUGAUAUGGUUUUGGUCAAGACCUACCUUGAUCAUUCAGUACCUGGAAGUUGACAGUGUGACGAGAUGGAUUCAGGGUGUGUUCUAACCACUGACAUUGAUGAGGAAUUGUAGCAACAAAUAUUUGAAGUACUAUUUACUUCCCUACCAUUCCACAGUUGUGAGUUUAUGUCUUUUACAAGGUGUUGCUGUUACAGAUUUGUUUGUUUCCUACCUUAUUAUAUAUAUAUUAUCUUGUUAUGCAUUCGGGUUGUUGAAUAUGCAUGAUCUCAGACCCUUGGUUUUCUCCAGAAAUCUGUUAGAUAGUAGUGUACUCUUUGAUCUUUUUUGUAUGUCCCAAACUAAAACGUUUUGAUUUUCAUGACUGCAUGCUCCUGACCCCACUCGGUGUACACAUACAAGGUGUACACAUACAGGUAUAUAGGAGUCCGAGUGCAUGCUCCUGACCACACUCGGUGUACACAUACAGGUAUAUAGGAGUCCGAGUGCAUGCUCCUGACCACACUCGGUGUACACAUACAGGUAUAUAGGAGUCCGAGUGCAUGCUCCUGACCACACUCGGUGUACACAUACAGGUAUAUAGGAGUCCGAGUGCAUGCUCCUGACCACACUCGGUGUACACAUACAGGUAUAUAGGAGUCCGAGUGCAUGGACAGGUGACCAGUCGGACAAAGUAAUGGAUACUCUAAAGACACGUUUUUGAAGGCCUAAGAAAUAACUGUUGGUUACAAAACUAAUUUGUGUAAGUUGGAACAUAAAUUUGUAAAUGCAUUUGCUUGGCAUUAAUAGAUUUAUUGUCAUUUUGUAUAGCUUCCAAGUUUGGAAAUAAUUGAAUCAAGCUACUCAACUGGUAACUUUUGAUGAACUUGGUGUUUUUUCACUUUGAUAUGUGUUGACAAGACUCCUUCGAAUAAUUUCUGUGAUAAUACUAUAUUGCCCAUGUAUCAUGUCUGGUGUCACUUUGACAUGGAACUAUGGACAGCAAUGUUUUUUAUCAUUUGUGACUAAGGACCAGGGCUAUUUCUUGCCCUCCUUCAACUGAACACUGAUGUGAUCAUAUUCAUCCAAGGUCUAACUGCCAAUAAAAAAUGUGAGUGCAUUUAUUUCAAAUAUCCAGGCAUCCAGUGUGUUUGGGAUCCUAUGGAGGUGGAGUCUUGGCUCAACUUAUCGAUGUAACACCAAUGCAACAGGAGGCACCUUGGAAUAGUUUGGAUGGUAAUCAGGAAUCUCUCUGACUUCCAAUGGGGUGGUGGGGCCAAAUGGGCAAAGUGUUGACUCGUAAUGUGGUAGAGCUGGGUUCAAAUCCCUACAUGGGUACAAUGUGUGAAGCCCAUUUCUGGUGUCCCUGCCAUGAUAUUACUGGUGUAGAACCCAACUCUCUCACUCACUCUUCAUGAUGCAAAUAAAGCGUUUCAUCAAAUAUAAUCAAAUACUUUGAAGGAGGAGAUACAUCCUGUCACCCCCUCCCUCCCCGACACGGACUCAUGGAUGCAUUUUACUGUGAAAUCAAAACAAUUCUGGGGCAUUGUCAGCUUGGCAUCUCAAAUAGGGAAUAUGUAAUAUUGUAAAAUUCACUUUUUAUUUGGUGCAUUUUAUUCCAGUUGAACAGCAUAAUUCCAGGUUUGGUAAAUCUGUUUGAAACUAAUAUAGUAUUUAUUUAUUGCCGCACCUAAUUAACUUGUAUAGCUGUGAUAGUUGUUUUUGAAUAUGCUAUGUUUUAUUGUCAGUGCUUUGAAAUAAUAAUUCAGCCCAUGGACAGCUCUCACAAAAGAUGUAGUUGUGUUGUAAUUGUGAGGUCGUUUCAUAACACUUUGGAUGCAAUUUCAGACAUUGUGUUGGAUUGAAUUGGCUAUCACAACGCUUGAAUGGCCAUACAGGCUUAUUGCUAUAUCAAGUUUGAAUGUCCAUUGCUUUUUUAUGUUUAUGUGUUAUUGUUAUUUGUUUUGUUUGCAAGUAGUUCAAAUUAAUGCUAAUUAUGCAGGUGGAAGUCAAUUAGCACUAUUUCAUAAUCAGUACACUUUUAUACGAUUUAUGCUUUUUAUAUAAAAAAUAAUAUUUGAAUAACUUUUUGUAACACAUUUUAUUAAACUUUAUGGACAUCUACCAAAAUGGAGCUUGAAAAUAACAGUGACACGUACUUAACAUUGUCAGUCAGUUGAAUUUACAUGCGUCCUGAAUUAUGUACCCUUCAGGGCUACGUCUUCAUACUCUCCAAGCCAUAAAAUAACCAUGUAUGUAGGGGUUUCAAUGCAUGAAGUUCUAAGGCUCCGGUUUAAUUAUAUUGUAUGUGUGCAUCUUUGAUAUUCCACUCAUGUAACUGUUAUUAAACAAGUGGUCAUGUUAUUCCAGGCCUUGUCCGCCACUAGCCAGACUUACAUUAAAAGUGUAUUCAAGUUAGGAAAAACACAUAAAUGCUGUUAGGUUCUGUUAUAAAGGUUUUUGUCACACUGCCACACAGCGGACCGACCACGUGGUCAGGUGCCACUGUACUGCAGUGGGGGCGUGGCAGACAACGAAUGGUCAUGUGACUCACGUGGAGGGGAGAGCUACAGGUGCACUAGUCCAUAUGAUUGUGAAUAAAGUCGAUGCUGUUGCAACUA
rnacentral:misc_RNA from 1 species